rnacentral:rRNA from 1 species
UUUCGAAAGUCUUGGGAAACGGUCUAAGCGAACUGUGUUGAGUGACUUUAACAGCAUCAUUGAGAGAUAUGGUGUGAUUGUUGAAGUAUUGGAUAGCAGAAUCUGCGUUGGUGAAACCCUGUUGGACACCCCGUCCCAGGCAGCCAGAGCAAUCUGCUCACGCUUGCGUGAUAUCCGUNGGAUUGAUCAGCUGAUCCGGACGGACGAAGCAAAAUUGUCUAACCGGCUUUUUGAGGCAUGUUUCGCGAAAGCGGAAACACUGCUCUCCAGUGAGCUGGCACUGCGGCAGAAAAUUGGUGCUUUUAACACUAUGAUUCUGCCAAAAGACAGCUUUGCAUUUAUGCACAACCUCAGUUCGAGCGGCAAGUUUGCAUCAGCAAGAGCAACUGCUAGCGAGGCUGAUUUGAAGAUUAGAGCCCUAUUGAAGGACUCCAAAAUCCGUCUUAGUUCCACCAGCACUUGUAGGCUUUAUGCUGACCCUUCGCAGGGAGGCAUGGGGCUGGGCAGGUUCUUGUGGUCCCUGGAGGAAAGCAUUGUGUACGCAUGGUGUUACCUCCAGCUUACAGAAGAGCUGAAACCUGCUCUCGGGCUUUUCGAAAGUCUUGGGAAACGGUCUAAGCGAACUGUGUUGAGUGACUUUAACAGCAUCAUUGAGAGAUAUGGUGUGAUUGUUGAAGUAUUGGAUAGCAGAAUCUGCGUUGGUGAAACCCUGUUGGACACCCCGUCCCAGGCAGCCAGAGCAAUCUGCUCACGCUUGCGUGAUAUCCGUCAACAGGAAUUACUUAGGGAGUGGGCUCAGCAAGAAUCCCGAACUAAGUUUCUUUCUGCGGCGGACCUUGAUCUGAGAAGAUCGUUCCUUUGGCUCAAAAAAGGGAUGAUCACCGGGUCUGUUGCUCGUAAUGUCAUUGCUGUCCAGGAUGGCAAUUUAGUUACGAAGCAGCAUUACGGUCACAACAACAACUUCUGCAGAACGAUGUUUUGAGACCACUACUCCCUUGCCGCACCGGGUCGAGAGCGCAGCUCACAUCGUAUCCGUGUGUCCGCACUGGAGGACCACCCUCAUGGUGGCCAGGCACAACAGCGUGGCAAGAUGGCUCUACAACGAGUUGUGUAAAUCAACUGGAUUCAACACGGUACAUUUCCGGGAGGUGAUCGCUCCAGUCCGCGAGAACCACCGAUACAUUUUGUACUGGGACCACAACAUUCCAACCCCUUUGAAGCUAAGGCACAAUCGGCCAGAUCUGUGCCUGGUUGACAAGGAGGAACAAAGGGUCUACGUGAUUGAAUUUUCAGUCUCUUGGGCGCUCUCGGACCAUGAGUUGAGCCGUCAGGAACAGCGAAAGCUUUCCAAGUAUGGUGUAAACUCAAUGCUUGACGAGAAUGCCGUUUUGCCCUUUCCCGUAGGGCCAAACCUAAAGAUGGAGCUGAGGAACAUGUACAAUUCCUCAGUGGAAAUCUUGCCAGUCGUAAUUGGAACUUGUGGCGAAAUUUCCACGAACCUGCCUCGGUGGCUGGGAAAACUGCCUCUCAAAUGCGACAUUGAUCGACUCAUCGAAUUGAUGAGCCGCGCGGCGGUGAUUGGCACAAGCAACAUUGUGAAGUGCCACACAGCAUUACCAGAAUGAACUGAUGAUGGUUAUAAAUUGGUUCACCUACGGUAUUCUAGGAGGAUGAGGCGGAACUGUCUGAGAUAACGUUCGACCCUGUUAUCACGGACACUUACCCCCUCCCCUCUCGUCUGCAACUGGGUGGUUAGGGACGUCAGUCCCGAAUCAAAACAUGCACUUAAGUGGAGCUCCACCCUUGUUGAAAAUCGGCGCUGGUUGGACGUGGCUUGCUACGAACCUCAGCGUCGUCGCGCCCGGGGGACCCGUGCUUUGGAGCGUAAUGUCGGCGGCUGCUGGCACCAAACUCCUUAGCUAGUUGGAGCGUGAUGUCGGCGGCUGCUGGCACCAAACUCCAUAGGCGGGUGGGCUACUCAAUUGCAUGGGUAGACUCCGACUGAUGAUCUUCGGUGAAUCAGUUAGGCUUAGCCUAGCCCCCAACCCACCGGCGACGGGGGUGAAUAAGAAUUCAAAGGGACGCGCACGAAUGGAUCAACGAGAUUCCCACUGUCCCUAUCUACUAUCUAGCGAAACCACAGCCAAGGGAACGGGCUUGGCAAAUUUAGCGGGGAAAGAAGACCCUGUUGAGCUUGACUCUAGUCUGACUUUGUGAAGAAUCAUGAGAGGUGUAGCAUAAGUGGGAGCCGCAAGGCGCCAGUGAAAUACCACUACUUUCAUCGAUUCCUUACUUAAUCGGUAAAACGGGAGUGCGCCCGCAUGGGUGUCCAUUUUGGUGUUAAGGCGGGCCACCCGGUGGCCCGUCGACCCGCGCCGAUGACAGUGUCAGGCGGGGAGUUUGACUGGGGCGGUACAUCUGUCAAAGCGUAACGCAGGUGUCCUAAGGCGAGCUCAGAGAGGACGGAAACCUCUCGUAGAGCAAAAAGGCAAAUGCUUACUUGAUCCUGAUUUUCAGUACGAAUACGGACCGCGAAAGCGUGGCUUAUCGAUCCUUUUGAAUUGUAAAGUUUCCAGCAAGAGGUGUCAGAAAAGUUACCACAGGGAUAACUGGCUUGUGGCGGCCAAGCGUCCAUAGCGACGUCGCUUUUUGAUCCUUCGAUGUCGGCUCUUCCUAUCAUUGCGAAGCAGAAUUCGCCAAGCGUUGGAUUGUUCACCCACCAAUAGGGAACGUGAGCUGGGUUUAGACCGUCGUGAGACAGGUUAGUUUUACCCUACUAAAGACCGGUUGCUAUGAUAGUAAUCCUGCUUAGUACGAGAGGAACCGCAGGUUCAGACAUUUGGUUCAUGUGCUUGGUCGAUAGACCAAUGGUGCGAAGCUACCAUCUGAGGGAUUAUGACUGAACGCCUCUAAGUCAGAAUCCCGCCUAGGCAAGAUAGCAAUACCAUUGCUCCCCGGUGUCGGGAGGCACUCUGUAUGCCCUCUUCUCUGAGGUGCAGCCCAAAUGCCCCAGCAUCUGGCCCGUGUGUUGUUUUUCACUGAGUAUAUUUUGCUUCCAUCACGUGUGUUGUUUUUCACUGAGUAUAUUUUGCCACAUUUGUUGCACCUUUUUGACUGCGCGCAAUAAUUACUGUUCGGAUGAUGA